GACGAACGCUGGCGGCGUGCUUAACACAUGCAAGUCGAACGGAAAGGCCCUGCUUUUGUGGGGUGCUCGAGUGGCGAACGGGUGAGUAACACGUGAGUAACCUGCCCUUUACUUUGUGAUAACUUCAGGUAACUGGGGCUAAUACCGGAUAGGAGCUCCUGCUGCAUGGUGGGGGUUGGAAAGUUUCGGCGGUUGGGGCUGGACUCGCGGCUUAUCAGCUUGUUGGUGAGGUAGUGGCUUACCAAGGCUUUGACGGGUAGCCGGCCUGAGAAGGUGACCGGCCACAUGGGGACUGAGAGAAGGCGCAGACUCGUACGGGAGGCAGCAGUGGGGAAUAUUGCACAAUGGGCGGAAGCCUGAUGCAGCAACGCCGCGUGCGGGAAGACGGCCUGCGGGUUGUAAACCGCUUUCGCCUGUGACGAAGCGUGAGUGACGGUAAUGGGUAAAGAAGCACCGGCUAACUACGUG
rnacentral:rRNA from 1 species